AACGAACGCUGGCGGCGCGCCUAAUACAUGCAAGUCGAGCGAGAAGGUGUAGCAAUACACUUGUAAAGCGGCGAACGGGUGAGGAAUACAUGGGUAAUCUACCAUCGAGUGGGGAAUAACCAGCCGAAAGGUUGGCUAAUACCGCGUACGCUUCCGAGUCUUCGGGCUUGGAAGGAAAGCCGCACUGUGAGUGCGGCGCUCUUUGAUGAGCUCAUGUCCUAUCAGCUUGUUGGUAGGGUAACGGCCUACCAAGGCUUUGACGGGUAGCUGGUCUGAGAGGACGAUCAGCCACACUGGCACUGCGACACGGGCCAGACUCCUACGGGAGGCAGCAGUAAGGAAUAUUGCGCAAUGGGCGAAAGCCUGACGCAGCGACGCCGCGUGGGGGAUGAAGGUCUUCGGAUUGUAAACCCCUUUCGGAGGGAGAUGGAGCGAGCAAUCGUUCGGACGGUACCUCCAGAAGCAGCCACGGCCAAC
rnacentral:rRNA from 1 species